GUAUCGUCUUUAUAUUACCUCUGCUAGAUACAAGUAUCAUCACCUCCAAGCAGAAGAAACUGAAGCACGGAUAUUAGGUAACUCGACCAAGGUCACAGGUAAGCUGGGAACCCAACCUUCUGCAGGCAGUUCUUGCCCUUGGGCCAGUACGUUUUUCAGAAUGCGAGGAGGUGAUGAUUAUGGUGAAGUAAUCUAUCUACAUGACUUGGGGUUUUCACUGUUGUCAAAGCGUGGAGCUUCGUUUCCAAAAGGAUCCGGGGUAGUCAUCUGCCAGCUUUGUUCAAACUUGUGAACAAGAGCGUUCGACAAAACUCACCCCUCAUUAAUUUGACUCUUCCCAGCAAUGGGAAAGGUCUCUAGAAAUCCUUCUCUGAACUGCACUCAAAAUGAGGGAGCUAAGCUGAAAGCGACUUUGGGAAAGGGGUCCUGGUGCAAGCCUCUAGCUACGUAUGCCAUCUUCGGUUGCAGCACCGUGCGGGGUGCCCAGAUCAGAAACCAGCCAAGGUGGCAGAGUCUGUAGGAAGAGCCAAAGACUGAAGUGGGACAGCGCCUACCAAAACUACACACAGGCACUUAAAGGGCUGCUCUCACGUGACCCAGCGCCUCGCAUCCGGGCCGCGCACGGACCGGCAGUACCCCUGAGUCACCUCGGCUGCAGCAGCAGGAUCGGGACCCGUCGCAACUGGUUCCUGUCCACCGCAGCCAACAACGCCGCCGCCGCCAUCUCCGCGCUGUUCUGCUGGAUUCCAAAAGCUGCUUGGCUUAUUCUUGAAAGCGUCCCUCCCUGCGCAAGCUUCUUGUCCCCGAUCCGCCACCGUAGCUCCGAAGAGCAAGUAGGCGUCUCCGCAAGAGCCAAUCACAAAACUGGGUGUUUCAAGGUAGAUUGUCCUUGCUGCGUGAGACCCACCUGCUACAGUUGAGAAAGAAUGGAGCGAGGCCAGCUCAAUAUCACAGAUGCUGGAAGGCUGCCAAGCCACUCACAGACUUGACUUCAAUUUCCAUUGGAAAGGUGUCAUAGGAGAAGCUAACAGGUGAUCUUUCUGAGAUGACUACCUUGGAUUAAAAAUCUACAAUAGAACUCCAAGGACACAGAGAAGACAGUAGCUGACCACAUCUGAGCUAGUGCCCUUUGCAGUGGGCUGAGCCCGGCUACUGCCUAAGCAGAAAUUCAACUCAACAAGGCAAACUGAGACAAGUGAGUAGACAUACAACAAACAAGAGUGUGCCUGAUAAAGUCCUGCACACAAAUACCCCAACCAAACCUCCCCGAAAACAGUGCCACUAACUGGGAAACAAAUGGUCAAGUAUGGGGGAACAUUUCUUAUUCAAAACAUUGUCAAUUGGUGAAUAUGGGUUAUUGAAAUCACCCACUUUUACUGUGUUUGGAUCAAUCUGUGGUUUUAGAUCUACCAGUUCUUCUUUUAUGAAAUGGGGUGGCCCUGUAUUUGAUGUACACGUGUUUAUUAUUGUAGUGUACGGUUGGUAGAUUUCCUUUUUCUUUGAGGAGAAUGAAGAAUCUCUCUGCCUUUGUUUGGGUUUUACUGCUGUGAACAGAUACCAUGAUCAAGGCAACUAUUACAAGGACAACAUUUAAUUGGAGUUGGCUUGCAGAUUCAGAGGUUCAGUCCAUUAUUAUCAAGGUGGGAGCAUGGCAGUGCCCAGUCAGGAAUGGCACUGGAGGAGCUGAGAAUUCAACAUCUUGUUCUGAAGGCAAACAGCUGAAGACUGGCUUCCAGGCAGCUAGGAUGUAGGUCUUAAAGCCCAAGCCCGCAGGGACACACCUGCUCCAACAAGGCCACACCUCCUAAUAGUGUCACUCCCUGGGCCAAGCAUAUACAAACCAUCACAUGCUCCUUACCUCUUUUGGCUAGUUUUGGUUUGAAGUCUGGUUUAUCAGACAUUAGAAUAUAUUUACAAUUUAGUUUCUUUUGUUUUGAAUACUUUUUUUUUGCAUCUUUUACUCUAAAGUGAUGUCUAUUUUGAUAUGAGGCAUGUUUCUUAGAGGCAGAAAAAAAUAGAUCCCAUUUCUUAAUCCAAUCUUUUAAUCAGUCAAUUGCUGUCAUUUUGUUAAUUUUGUAAAGUUUUCUCAUAUCUUGUUGGAUUCCCUGCCAUGACACUGUUUAUUUCAUUUCUGUGACUGCUUGACUGUGUUUAUCCUUCUUUUCAGCAUUCCUUCUGGUCACCCCCUGUAGAGCUGGCUUAGUAGUAGUAAAGUCCUUUUAUCCGUUGUAUGGAAAGAUUUUAUUUUUCCUUCAAUUCUCGGGGAUAGUUUUGCUGAGUAUAGUAGUCUGGGUUGGGUAAUAUUAACUUUUUUCUAAAAAUUGGAAAUGUUCUUCAUUUUCUGCUUUAUGGAAUACUUAAGGAGUAUUAGUGUUAAUUCCUUUUUUUGAAUAUGUGGUAGAAUUUUGAGCUAAAUCCAUCUGGCCCUGAACAUUUUAUUAAUUUAGAGAUUUUUAAGUAUCAUUUGUAACCCACUGGUGCCAUGUUCCUAUCUAAAUUAUUUCUUUUUUUUUUAAUCUUGAUUCAGCUCUGUUACCCCAUAUACAUGUGGAAAUUGAUCCAUUUCUUUUAGAUGUUCUGGUUUGAUGGGAUAAAGAUUUUUAAAGUAUGUAAUUACAACUGUCUGUCGGUUGCAAUCUCUCCCCUUUUAUCCCUAAUUUUGUAAAGUUAGAUUAAAAUGUGUUGACAAUAGCUGUUGUACCAGUAUAUUGAGUUGAUAUUUAUACUUUAGAAUGUUCAUGGAUUAAUAAUAAUUGGCAAAUAAGCCAUCACUAAGUUGACAUUUAACUCCACGAAAAGUAUUAACACUUUGUUUCUUUGCUGCCUUAACAACCAACAUUGAAGAAGUCUAAGUGCAUAAAACUUUGUGAUAAAUGUGUUCACCUGUGAUAUUUACUUAAAAAUACAGAUCCAAAUAUAGUUUAAAAUAUUAAAUUUUUACUAAUAAUUGUAAGACCCUCUUUCGGGGACCCCCACUCUAGUCUCAGAAGAGAGAGCGCACCCAAAGAAACACGAGAAUCCUUCUUGCUGUAAACACACGAGGUAGUUUAAUGGCGGAGCUCCUUGUCAAAAUGUAUCGCAGGAGACAGUGGAUUUGACGACAAGGCUCAAAAGCUAGAGGUUUUUAUGGGUUAAAGGGCUUAGGGGUGGGGAAUUCAGCAUAGAGACACACUAUUGGCUUAUUCAAACAUCAGCAGAAAAAUUACAUGUACGUGCAGAUCAGGGUGUCAGAGUUCUGUGAGUUGGAUGUUUAUCAAUGCUGACUCAGUUCAGAUAGCCCUGUUAUGUCCUCACAUUCCUCUUUAUCUUUAUGGUCAAGCUGUUCUCAGGAAUGCUUUAACUACAGGGCAUACCCGGGUUUGUUUUUCUUUGUUCUCAGCCCCAGGCAGCCUCUAGGCUCACAAACAACCAGCAAUUUCUGAGUACUUUAUAUGUCUUACAGGUCUUAAAAUUUCAUCUUUCUUUCAUAAUCUCUGAUACAAAAAUAUUCUUUAAUGUUUAACCUAUAUAUUGGAAAAUAAUCAAAAAAUUUUAUGAAUAGCCAAGUAACAUAUUAAAGUAAAUUUUAUAUUUCAAAUUACACACACACACACACACACACACACACACACACACACACACACACAUUUAUAUUAAAAUCUCUACAUGUUCUGAUAGGUUGUCUAGGAAGACUCUAGCUUCAUAGAUGAGUAAACUCUAGAGGAGAAGUUCUACGGAGUCCAGAUUCAGAUUCAUCAGGAACUGCAAAGAAAACAUUCUCUGUGUUAAAGACUUUAUAGUGAAUUGACAAUGAGUUAGUUUUAAAAAAUUAAAAGAAUUCAUCAGUGUUAAUGAAGAUGGACCUAACAUGUCCCACUGGUGCAACAGUGACAUGCCUGCUUUCUGAUUGGAUUUGAGGUCUGUCCAUAGGAGGAAACUGGGUUCCUGGUACUGUAAUCCUGGUCAAAAGCCUGUGGCUGGUAUCUAAGUUAGGGUUACUAGUGCUGAAACAUGAAACAUCAUGACCAAAGCAACUUUGGAAAGGAAAGGGUUUAUUUGGCUUCUACUUCUCAUCACUGUUUUACAACUGAAGGAGGUAAGGACAGGAACUCGGGCAGGACUGGGACCUCGAGGCAGGCGCUGAUGCAGAGGCCAUGGAGGGGUGCUGCUUACUGGCUUAUUCCUUGUGGGUUGCUUAGCAUGCUUUCUUAUAGAACUGAGGACUACCAGUCUGGGACUGACACUAUCCGCAAUCGAUUGGCUGGGUAGUGGAUCAAUCACUGCCCCAUCCAUCACUAACUGAAAAAAAAAUGUCUUACCUUACUUACAGUGCAAUAUUAUGGAGGCAUUUUGUUGCUGGGAACCUGCCCAGCCUUGAAUGGGCUUGAAGAGGGACACAGUGUCAAACAUUGCUUUAAAGACUGAUGGUCUCUGGCCCGCUAGCUCUCUAACUAUACUGAGUGCUUGCUGAUAACUUCAAAAAGCUUAUAAAAACUUUCUUGCUUACUCUAUGGUUUAAAAACAUGGGCUUUUUUUAUUUCCCUCUUUAACUCUGUGCUUUCUUAAACAUUAUAGCUCUCUGUGCUUUAUUUAACUCUUUAUGCUUAAAUAAACAGUGGAGAAACUUACCUGAAGUGAGGCAGAAUACCACGCAGCAGGAGUAUGUUACAGAGGAAGCUUCUUGCUUCAUGGUGGCCGUGGAGCAGAGAAACGGGGCUGAGACCAAGCAUACAUGUGCCUCCAGUGACCCACUUUCUUCAAUUAGACGCAGCUAUGGAUUCCUGGUGCAUUAGCUCUUUAAUGACUUUAGCUCUAUCAUGGUCCUCUUACCCCAGAUAUGUCUUCAGCAUGUAAAUUCUGUGUGCACAGGAUGGCAGCAGGGAGAGUGUCAACCCCGGCAUUGAAAACUAUGGCCUCACAAUGUAAUUGUAACAACAUAGUAACUGUGACUAAUAAAGCACUUAGUGGGAGCAAAGACUUCAUCAGUCCAAUUUAGUGUCUGUAUUGCAGACUUAGGAUCUUAAGUUCUACAGGUCAAAGCAUGAGUGAUAGAAUCCAGUCUCUUUAGGAAAUAGAGUUUUAAUAUACAUGAUUAUAUUGACAUAAUGAACAACAUCUUUCUUUUCUGGGAUUGAAUAGUUAAAUGUUUGCCUAAUGAUCACAGAUGAAUAUAAGAAAUUCUUUUCUAAAAUCCAAAGAUCAAAUCACUAUCCAACUGGGAGAAAAUGCUUAAAUAAUGACUUAUAUAUUCCUGACUAGAUGUAUAAGUUAUGUGAAAUUCAUUAUCAAAAUCUUACUGAAAAAGUCUUAGAUAGAAAUAGAUAUCCCAAAUUCUAGAUCAAAUAACUACUUUACUAUCAUUUUAUAGGUUGUUCUAAAAUCCAGAGAGCCAUGCACACACUUAGAAUGCACAGCUUAGGCUUGGUGUGUGGCUCAGUGCUACGAUGCUUGCUUUGUACCUGUAAGGUCCCGGGUUCAGUCUCCAUGCCACAGAAAUCAUAACAGCAGUAGCAAUAAGUUACUUAAUAAAAGAAAUUUAUUCCUUUUGUACAUUGUACCUAAAGCUUACACAUUAUUUACAAUAGGUAAACAAUUUAGUAAGAGCAGCACUAUUCACAAAGUCAAAGCACAGAAGGUGCCUGUUUGUUCUUCUGUGUGAUGGGUGAGUGGAUAAGAAUGUAGGCCGUACAAACUGGUUUUCCCAACUCUUAUAACACCUUUAUUUAAAAUUCACUACCCAGAUCAGUAAUUUUGUGAAGUAUCAAGAAUUUCAUGCAGCAAACUUCUAUAAACAGAACUACUUGUAUUACUAAUAUAAGCAAAUGUACUGGUAUGAACAAGAAUAUGUUUACCAAUGAAAAGGUCCCACCAGCUAAAAUUGUCAAGAGCCAUGAAAGAGGAAUAACACACAGCUUUGGAAUUCAUGGAGAACUGUGGAUUGUCGUCAAUACACAGGUGAGAGCAGGUGAAAUAUAAGACUAGAAUCUGUGACUGGGCAAUGAAAACCGUAGGAGGGGCUGAGAGUUUCAGAGAGACAGGACUAGACACAGAGAGGCAAGGACAGAGAAAGAUGGAGGAAGAGUAAAAGGAAUCCACGUGGCUUGAAAUAGUCUCAGGUAGCUAUGACAUCAUAGAAGAGCAAUAGAGUAAUGUAGGGCAAUUUGUCCAAUCUAGGAGCAUAGCUUGUGUUUAUAUCAGUCUAGGUGGGUAUCUUGUAUUAAUAUCAAUCGGCUCUGAGUUUAUUGUGUGGGCAUUUCAUGGGUUGAGAUUUAUUGAUACAAAUCUGACUGAUAAUUUACAAGCCUCUGGAGUUUUGGUUUUACUGGCUUAGGGGACUUGUGACAGCUAACCACAGGGGUUGGAUGACAGAAAACAGCGGUUCAGUGGCAAGUAAACCACAGGGAUGGAGUGGGAAGACCGUUGCGGCCCCAGCGUAGCCAGGAUAGCAUAGUUUUUUUGUUUUUGUUUUUGUUUUUUGUUGUUUUUUAAUUAUUACAUGCAACAGAGAGCAGCCCACAGGUUAGCAUGACCCGGGUGGGUGUGCCUUGGAGAGGCAGAGGCCCAAGGACUACAAGUCCUGGCGACCUCAUACUGCUCGUGGAGUAUCUCUCUGCUUGGAGUAUUGUCUGCAGGGUCAUCAUGUCCCUCAUAAUCUAUGAGCUGUGUGAAAACUCUAAGGGGGUUUCCAGCCCCUCACUGGGCAGUGUCACUGGCACUCACAAUAAUAAUCAUUGAUCUUCACUGUGUUGCUGCUGGAACAGAUUAACGAUUCAACCACCAUCCUUAGAGAGAACGUAGAGACGUAGAUUGUCAGAAAGUUAGGUAAAGGUGUUUUUGUUAGUAGCUUUGCUAUGGAGAAUCUUGCGGGAAGUGUAAAGUUCAGAAAGGCAGUUUUGAUAGAUGAGGGAGGGGCUCCCUGAGGUCAGAGGCAAGAACAAUGGCAGCCCGGUUAUUGCUAGCUGAUGUGCCUUUCUUGCUAAAGAUGGAUUGGUGAUUAAAGGUGAUGAUUAAUUUAUGGUAUUCAUUUUUGCCCUUGGCUUCCUGAUAUUAUUUAAUAAUAAAAAUAAAAAUGGUUGGUGAAUAAGUAUGCACCCUGAGGAUUGAAGGUAGGAAUGGCUGAUAAUUAUGUUUAGAUUUGUGAUUCUUUUAAUACUUUUUAUAAGAUUACCUUUUGAGAUAAAUAUUUAAAUGAUUUAUCCUUUCUUUCUAACAGCAAGGUCUGCCAGUAAGAGAGCUUGGGAGACAAACACCUUGCUUGCUUAUACUUUGCUAAUCUGUAACAAGUUGCUUAGACAUGCAUGUACUGGGUCCUUGGUAAUAAUUUGUUUUUCACCUGUAAUACAUGAAAUGUUUAAUCAUGUAAUGGUUUUGGGGAACAUGCUUGUUUUUGUUUUUGUUUUUGUUUUUUUUUAACUUAUGUUCACUGUAAAGAAAAACAGAAUAUAAGCACAUUGUAACUGUGA
rnacentral:lncRNA from 1 species